CUGCAUGCAGGUUGGCGAUGUUUUCUGUAAGCCAUCCCUGGCAGUUCAUGUGGGUAGAGGCUGGAAACCUUUGUGAUGCAUGGCAGCACCACACAGAGGGAAUAGAGAUAUGGGAAGAACACACCAGCAAUUCUCCUGGAAUGAAACACUUCAAGUACAUAGCCUUCUGGCAUGGCUGGCUUUCUCACAGAAGUAAGAAUGUGCUGUUGGCAUGGGGGCUGGAACCGCGGGUAAGCACAGCCCGGAGGAAUCAGUGCAAGUGCCGGGCAGAGCAGCUUGGCCGCUCAGAGCAUUGCAGCUUCUUCUGUGAGAGUGUUACUGAGUCGGGAAGGAUGG
rnacentral:lncRNA from 1 species